GAUGAACGCUGGCGGCGUGCUUAACACAUGCAAGUCGAACGGAAAGGCUCCUGCUUGCAGGGGUACUCGAGUGGCGAACGGGUGAGUAACACGUGGGUGAUCUGCCCUGCACUUCGGGAUAAGCCUGGGAAACUGGGUCUAAUACCGGAUAGGACGAUGGUUUGGAUGCCAUUGUGGAAAGUUUUUCGGUGUGGGAUGAGCUCGCGGCCUAUCAGCUUGUUGGUGGGGUAAUGGCCUACCAAGGCGUCGACGGGUAGCCGGCCUGAGAGGGUGUACGGCCACAUUGGGACUGAGAUACGGCCCAGACUCCUACGGGAGGCAGCAGUGGGGAAGAUUGCACAAUGGGCGCAAGCCUGAUGCAGCGACGCCGCGUGGGGGAUGACGGCCUUCGGGUUGUAAACUCCUUUCGCUAGGGACGAAGCGUUUUGUGACGGUACCUGGAGAAGAAGCACCGGCUAACUACGUG
rnacentral:rRNA from 1 species